rnacentral:rRNA from 1 species
CCUACGGGAGGCAGCAGUGGGGAAUAUUGCGCAAUGGGGGAAACCCUGACGCAGCAACGCCGCGUGAGUGAAGACGUAUCUCGGUAUGUAAAGCUCUAUCAGCGGGGAAGAAGGAAGACGGUACCCGACUAAGAAGCCCCGGCUAACUACGUGACAGCAGCCGCGGUAAUACGUAGGGGGCGAGCGUUAGCCGGAUUUACUGGGUGUAAAGGGGUCGUAAACGGCGGCGCAAGUCUGAAGUGAAAGCCCAGGGCUAAACCGCGGAACCGCUUUGGAAACUGGGAGGCUGGAGUGCUGGAGAGGUAAGCGGAAUUCCGGGUGUAGCGGUGAAAUGCGUAGAUAUCAGGAGGAACACCGGUGGCGAAGGCGGCUUACUGGACAGUGACUGACGUUGAGGCUCGAAAGCGUGGGGAGCGAACAGGAUUAGAUACCCUAGUAGUC